UAUACACACACUCACAGUCUUUAGUCCUAAAACCACAGUCUUUAGUCCUUAAAUUGACUAAGAAAGAUAGCACACAAGAUAAUCAAGUUCGGGCCUUGACGAUGAAGAGCCUCGGAACUAAGGUUAGAGUACGAUGAUCAGCCGGACAAAGCUGGGACUUCACUUUCACAAAAUGAAGUUAGACAAAAUCCGACGUCACAAAGGGUCCGACCCCUUUUAUAUCUCUAUUUCCCCCCUUUCUUUUAACAAACAAUCUUUUCGUUUUUCCCUUCUUUAUUGCCCUCUUCACUUCUUCCCACUUACCACCUGCAAGUCAUUUGACUUGUUUUCCGAAUGUUUUGUUUAUUUCACUUAAAGGGGAAAG
rnacentral:lncRNA from 1 species